AUUGAACGCUGGCGGCAGGCUUAACACAUGCAAGUCGAGCGGAGAGAGGUAGCUUGCUACUAAUCUUAGCGGCGGACGGGUGAGUAAUGCUUAGGAAUCUGCCUAUUAGUGGGGGACAACAUUUCGAAAGGAAUGCUAAUACCGCAUACGUCCUACGGGAGAAAGCAGGGGAUCUUCGGACCUUGCGCUAAUAGAUGAGCCUAAGUCGGAUUAGCUAGUUGGUGGGGUAAAGGCCUACCAAGGCGACGAUCUGUAGCGGGUCUGAGAGGAUGAUCCGCCACACUGGGACUGAGACACGGCCCAGACUCCUACGGGAGGCAGCAGUGGGGAAUAUUGGACAAUGGGCGCAAGCCUGAUCCAGCCAUGCCGCGUGUGUGAAGAAGGCCUUAUGGUUGUAAAGCACUUUAAGCGAGGAGGAGGCUACUUUAGUUAAUACCUAAGAUGAGUGGACGUUACUCGCAGAAUAAGCACCGGCUAACUCUGUGCCAGCCGCCGCGGUAACAC
rnacentral:rRNA from 1 species